rnacentral:rRNA from 1 species
UUCCGGUCUUGUACACACCGCCGUCACACCACGAAAGUCGGCAAUACCCGAAGCCGGUGGCCUAACCCGCAAGGGAGGGAGCCGUCGAAGGUAGGGUCGAUGAUUGGGGUG